AACGGCCAUACCAUACUGAAUAUACCGGUUCUCGUUAGAUCACCGAAGUCAAGCAUCAUUGGGCGCGGUCAGUACUUGGGUGGGUGACCACCUGGGAACACCGCGUGACGUU
rnacentral:rRNA from 1 species